rnacentral:tRNA from 2 species
UCCUCAGUAGCUCAAUUGGUAGAGCAUUCGGCUGUUAACCGAAGGGUUGUAGGUUCAAGUCCUACCUGAGGAGCCA